GGAUUUUUUAAAGUGUCCGGUUUUGAUUUGGAGGAUAUGGUAGUGGACAUCGGUUACUGGUUCAAGGGUAGCACAAAUCGGAAAGGAUACCUGACAGAGUUUUGUGAGCUCCAUGAAGCGGAGUACAUGGAGGUCCUCCUGCAUAUCUCGGUCCGUUGGCUAAGCCUUGAACGUUGUGUGACCAGGAUCCUGAG